GUUUGCAGAGGAAUCAUCCAGGAGCCCUUGCCGGACGAGAAUAUGCAGAAGUGGCCGUGAGCAGCCUGGACAUCCUUCUAAGGGGACCUCAAGAGUCCUCAGGUUUCUGCCUUCUGCCUAACUGGCUUAGCAAGAGAAAAGAAGUCACAGGCCAGAGUCUACUGCCCUCGUGCAAUGGAAAGAGGGCAAGAGCGAUGAGUCUGCAAGCGUUGUUGAUGCGACGCAGAAGGCGUCCAUCUGGGAGCGGAACCGCCACCACUCUCAAUGAGAUAAGUGUCUUCUUUGGUGAUUGCUCUGCUCAAAGCCCAUCUUGCUCCUGGUAGGGACGCCCCGUUAGCUGGGGCUGGGUUUGUAAGAAAAGGUUCCUGACUAGUUGUGGUUACAAGGGAGACGAUGUCCCCAUUUUCAGGGGCUGCUCAUGUCUCUGGCCAGGACCAGUGUGUCCUUCGCAGCAUCCAGGGGGAUGACUCCAGCUGUGAGGGCUCUUGGUUGGCUUAUUUGCUGCACUUGUAGAGGAAUUGUCCAGGAGCAGCAGCCAGAGGAGAAAUUGGCAGAUGUGGGCCUGAGGAGCCUGGACGUUCUUCUAAGGAGACAUGAACAGUCCUCGGCUUUCUGCCUCGUGCAUAACUGGCUGUGGGUUUGGUGUGUCUGACCAGAGUCAUCUGUGCAGAGUGACUAUUUCAGGUGUCAUCGAAGUGCUUUCUACUUGUAGUCAUAAAGGCGUGAUGGGAGGAGGGUUCAGGGCAGAGCCCCACCAUGUGGGAGAGGCAAAAAGAAGCGGCUGCCCAACAUUGCCAAUUGAGAUGGUGACUGACUUGUUUUUCCGCUGGAUUUAGUACCAAGGGAAAAGAAGUGACAAGUCAGAGUCUGCUGCCCUCAUGCGAUGGAAAGCGAGUGAGAGUGAUGGGACUGCGAGAAUUAUUGAUGCCUUGAAAAAGCGGUCCAACUGGGAAUGGAACAGUCAUCACUGUCAAUGAGAUAAGUGUCUGUUUUGGUGAUUGCUCUGCUCACGGCCCACCUUGCUCCUGAAAGGGAUGCCCCGUUUGCUGAGGCUGUGUUUGUAAGAAAAGGUUCCUGACUAGCUGUGGUUUUGAGAGAGAGAGAAGAUCCCCAUUUUUAGGGGCUGCUCAGUUUUCUGGCCAGGAGCAGUGUGUCCUACGCAGCAGAAGGUUGCAUCUAGGAGAAUGGGUCCAGGUGGUGAAUUGCUUGCCUUUCUCUCGUGUUUCUCUCUCUCUCUUCUCUAGUGUGUUGGCCAACACUCUUUCUCAAUCUGUCCUUGCCUUUCCUUGUGCUGUCUCCCUUCUUAGGAUAUCGGCAGGCGAGCUAGGUGUGCACCCCCACAGGUUGUGUCUUGGGAGCCAUAAAGAAGUAGGAAGGGACGAAAAUCAUGCAGGGCAGUCGGUGCGAGACUGGAGCGGUGACUGUUGGUGUUGUGGGGCUAAGACAGAUCGAAAGCGACGCAGGGAAGAGGGCCUUAAUUGGGCUCUAUGUAGUUCAGGAGUUCUCAAACUGGGGUUUAGGUCCCAUCAGGGGGCCGGAAGGUUGUUAUUUGGGGGGUUGUGAAAUGUCAUCCUCCAUCCUAAACAUCACUUUGCUUCCAGCAUUUAUAAUGGUGUUGAAUAUACAAUAAGUGUUUUUAAUUUAUAAGGGGAGGGUCACACUCAGAAGCUUUCUAUGUAAAAGGGAUCAUCAGUACAAAAGGUUGAGAACCACUGGUGUAGUGAUAGUUCUUGCUUGCCUUUAUUAGUUUGCAGAGGAAUUGUCCAGGAGUCUCAGCUGGAGAAGAAGCUGGCAGAAGUGGACCUGAACUGCCUGGACAUCCUUCUAAGGAGACAUGAACAAUCCUCAGCUUUCUGCAUUCUGGAUAACUGGCUAUGAGACAGUCACACAUCAGAGUCUACUGCCCUCAUGCGAUGGAAAUUUGCAGAGGAAUCGUCCAGGAGCCACAGCCGGAUGAGAAUGUCAGAAGUGGAUCUGAGCAGCCUGGACAUCCUUCUAAGGAAACAAGAAUAGUCCUCAGGUUUCUGCCUUCUGCAUAACUGGCUUACCAAGCAAAAAGAAGUCACAUGUCAAAGUCUACUGCCCUUAUGAGUGAGAGUGACGAGACUGCGAGCGUUGUUGGUGCCAGGCAGGAGCCGUCCAUCUGGGAGCAGAACAGCUGCUACUAUCACUGAGAUAAGUAUCUGUUUUGCUGAGGGUUCUGCUCACGGCCCACCUGGCUACAGGUAGAGACACCCCGUUAGGUGGGGCUGGGUUUGUAAGAAAAGGUUCCUGACUAGCUGUGGUUUUGAGGGAGACACGGUCCCCAUUUUCAGGGGCUGAUGAUUUCUCUGGCCAGGAUCGGUGUGUCCUCGGCAGGAGAAGGUUAGAUUCAUGAGGGAUGACUCCAGGUGGUGAGUUGCUUGCCUUCCUCCUCUGUUUCUCUCUCUGUCUUCUCUACUCUACUGUGUUGGCCAACACACUCACACUCACACUCUCUCUCUUCUCCCCCCCCCCCCCAUAGGGCACGGGCAGGAGUGCUAUGUGUGCAAUCCCUCAGGCUAGGUCUCGGGAGCUAUGAACAAGUAGGAGGGGACGAAAAUCAUGCAUCGUAGUGGGCGCUAGAGUGGAGGGGUGACUGUGGAUGUUGACUGUCUCUCUUCAAGUGGGCCUGAUGUAGAUAGGAUGGGAGAGGGAGGCAGGGAUGAGGGCAAGAUUACCUGCACCAAUUGAAUUUUGUGUAGUGAUGGCUCUUGCUUCGCUCAUUUCCUGCGCUUGCAGAGGAAUUGUCCGGGAGCAGCAGCUGAAGGAGAAAGUGGCAGACGCGGACCUGAGGAGCCUGGACGUCCUUCUAAGCAGACAUGAACGGUCCUCAGCUUUCUGCCUUCUGAACAACUGGCUGUGAGUAAGAGUACCAAGGAAAAAUAAGUCACAUGUCAGAGUCUACUGCCCUCAUGCAAUGGAAAGUGAGUGAGAGCAGCGAGCCUGUGAGCAUUGUUCAUGCCAGGCAAGAGCCGUUCAUUUGGGAGCCAAGCAGAUGCCACUGUCAGUGAGAUAAGUGUCUGUUUUGCUGAGGGUUCUGUUAACAGCCCAUCUGACUCCAGUGUGUCCUCCGCAGGAGAAGGUUGGAUUCAGGAGGAUGACUCCAGAUGUUUGCAGAGGAAUCGUCCAGGAGCCCUCGCCGGAGGAGAAUAUGCAGAAGUGGAUCUGAGAAGCCUGGACAUCCUUCUAAGGAGACAUGAACAGUCCUCGGGUUUCUGCAUAACUGGCUGUUCCUCAUCUGUACUUGCUGUAGUUGUCUUCAUAGGCCAUGUGCUUCCUCCUUGGGUACGGGGCUCUGUGGCUGGGGAGGGGCCAGAAUCUGCUCUGUAGAGUGACUAUGUUGGGUGCCAUUAAGAGGGCCAAUGUAGACAGGAGAAAAGGGGUCUGAACCCUGAUUACAGGGCUGUCACCCUUUCCUUAGUAAAAUACGUCUCCUUUAAACUCGGUGUGUGCAGGGGGCGGGGGGAAGUCCCCAAUGUGAAAAGAUCUGGAAAUGAACAGGUAAGGGAGGGAUCCUGCUGAGUGUCUCCUUUCCAAUCAAUCCUCCAUCUCUCAGCGACACCCUUCCGGACUUACCUUCCUACCUCACCAAGAAAAUAACUUUGUGCUCCCUAACCUUUACCAGAAAAGACCCCUCUUCCUUGUGACGCAGUCCCGUUAGUAGGGUUAGGUGCACCCACGUGCUGGCUCUGAAUACCACCGCAUGUGCUUACAACACCUGAACAUCAACACAUUUCAGAAAGGAUAGCCACAACAAUCCCUUCAGACGUAGCCCUAGGAAUCUCCUCUGUCUAUCUCCAAAGAGACACAAGGCCUGGAAUUUGGACACAGCUGAGGGAGCUGUCCGAAUGUCUACAGUUGAACACUCAUCAGUGCGCAGUGUCUUUCUUGUGCACAGGAAAACAAAGGGUCAAAGUUGUGGUUGGUUGAGCGGUGUAAAUUGGGCAGGGCAAAAGGACUUGAGGAAGGAUGAGGUGGAAGUGAGGGUCUGAAAGGAGCCGCCCCCACCACCUCACCUGUUCAUUUCCAGACUGUGUGACAUUUGCAUGGUUGGGCCAUUUCUUGGCUUUUUUGAGAAAAGGGGCGAAUUUUCCAUGGCCUCCACCAUCCCCUUACAGCUGCCCCUUCGACACACCAUGUUGCAUCUGACCUGGAUAGGUCGCAAGUAAGAUUUCACUUCAAAUCUCAAAGUCCAGUGGAAAUAAUUUUGGGCGAAUUUCCUAUUGCUAAGAGAAACGGAAGCUCAAGCCUUCUCAAGGGGUAGGGUGUCGCUCAGCCACAGGCACAAAAAGGCUCCCCUAGUUUAAGCGUGCGAGGGAUAAGACCUUACAGCCUGGUUACAGGGCAGUCAUUUUGCCGGGCCUGUCAAAGUGACCUGUGGUUUAAUUUGCUUGGCAAAGGAGACCCAAACCUUCCUUACAGGGUGGUCCUUAAGCCAGGGGCGUUCGAAUGGGGCAGAGAG